CAUUGGAAACUGGGAGACUUGAGUGCAGAAGAGGAGAGUGGAAUUCCAUGUGUAGCGGUGAAAUGCGUAGAUAUAUGGAGGAACACCAGUGGCGAAGGCGGCUCUCUGGUCUGUAACUGACGCUGAGGCUCGAAAGCGUGGGGAGCAAACAGGAUUAGAUACCCUGGUAGUCCACGCCGUAAACGAUGAGUGCUAAGUGUUGGAGGGUUUCCGCCCUUCAGUGCUGCAGCAAACGCAUUAAGCACUCCGCCUGGGGAGUACGACCGCAAGGUUGAAACUCAAAGGAAUUGACGGGGGCCCGCACAAGCGAUGGAGCAUGUGGUUUAAUUCGAAGCAACGCGAAGAACCUUACCAGGUCUUGACAUCCUUUGACCACUCUAGAGAUAGAGCUUUCCCUUCGGGGACAAAGUGACAGGUGGUGCAUGGUUGUCGUCAGCUCGUGUCGUGAGAUGUUGGGUUAAGUCCCGCAACGAGCGCAACCCUUAUUGUUAGUUGCCAUCAUUCAGUUGGGCACUCUAGCGAGACUGCCGGUGACAAACCGGAGGAAGGUGGGGAUGACGUCAAAUCAUCAUGCCCCUUAUGACCUGGGCUACACACGUGCUACAAUGGGAAGUACAACGAGUCGCUAGGCCGCGAGGUCAUGCAAAUCUCUUAAAGCUUCUCUCAGUUCGGAUUGUAGGCUGCAACUCGCCUACAUGAAGCCGGAAUCGCUAGUAAUCGCGGAUCAGCACGCCGCGGUGAAUACGUUCCCGGGCCUUGUACACACCGCCCGCCACACCACGAGAGUUUGUAACACCCGAAGUCGGUGAGAUAACCUUUUGGAGCCAGCCGCCUAAGGUGGGAUAGAUGAUUGG
rnacentral:rRNA from 1 species